AUUGAACGCUGGCGGCAUGCUUUACACAUGCAAGUCGAACGGUAACAGGCCGCAAGGUUCUGCCGAGUGGCGUACGGGCGAGUAAUGCAUCGGAACGUGCCCAGUCGGGGGGGAUAACUACUCGAAAGAGUAGCUAAUACCGUAUACGAUCUAUGGAUGAAAGCGGGGGACUGUAAGGCCUCGCGCCAUUGGAGCGGCCGGUGUCAGAUCAGGUAGUUGGUGGGGUAAUGGCUCACCAAGCCAACGAUCUGUAGCUGGUCUGAGAGGACGACCAGCCACACUGGGACUGAGACACGGCCCAGACUCCUACGGGAGGCAGCAGUGGGGAAUUUUGGACAAUGGGCGCAAGCCUGAUCCAGCAAUGCCGCGUGCAGGAAGAAGGCCUUCGGGUUGUAAACUGCUUUUGUACGGAACGAAACGGCUCUGGUUAAUACCCGGGGCUAAUGACGGUACCGUAAGAAUAAGCACCGGCUAACUACGU
rnacentral:rRNA from 1 species